rnacentral:rRNA from 1 species
UACGUAGGUGGCAAGCGUUGUCCGGAUUUACUGGGUGUAAAGGGCGCGUAGGCGGGAAUGCAAGUCAGAUGUGAAAUGCUGGGGCUUAACCCUGGAACUGCAUUUGAAACUGUAUUUCUUGAGUAUCGGAGAGGCAGGCGGAAUUCCAAGUGUAGCGGUGAAAUGCGUAGAUAUUUGGAGGAACACCAGUGGCGAAGGCGGCCUGCUGGACGACAACUGACGCUGAGGCGCGAAAGCGUGGGGAGCAAACAGG